AGCAGCCGCGGUAAUUCCAGCUCCAAUAGCGUAUAUUAAAGUUGUUGCAGUUAAAAAGCUCGUAGUUGAAUUUCGGGGCUAGUAGGUUGGUCAUGCCUCUGGUAUGUACUGGUCUCACUGAUUCCUCCUUCCUGAUGAGCCGUAGUGCCAUUAAUUUGGUGUUGCGGGGAAUCAGGACUGUUACUUUGAAAAAAUUAGAGUGUUUAAAGCAGUCUCACGCUUGAAUACAUUAGCAUGGAAUAAUGAAAUAGGACGUUUGAUUCUAUUUUGUUGGUUUCUAGGAUCGACGUAAUGAUUAAUAGGGAUAGUUGGGGGCAUUAGUAUUCAAUUGUCAGAGGUGAAAUUCUUGGAUUUAUUGAAGACUAACUACUGCGAAAGCAUUUGCCAAGGAUGUUUUCAUUAAUCAAGAACGAAAGUUAGGGGAUCGAAGACGAUCAGAUACCGUCGUAG
rnacentral:rRNA from 1 species